rnacentral:rRNA from 1 species
AUGAGAGGCAGCAUCUUAUACUCUUCAUUUCGGAGGAUUUCCCAGGGCCACCCACCCAAGUCCAGUGGAUUUCACAGGUCAUCUCCACUGGCUGCUCAGAGGUUUGGGCGGUCCAAAAGAUGGAUUGCUACAUCCGAUGGUUUACCCGGUGAAAAGAUGAUGCUUGUGAAUGAUUUAGUUUGCCCGGUCAAGUAUUUCACGGAGGAAGUUCCACUGCUUGAACCCUUAGACGACAAUAUUCUCUUGAAGACCGUUGGAGGACCCAGAGGAAAGACACUGGUUGCAUGGAAAGCAGGGAAAACCAUCAGAAGUCUGCCAGAGCUGAUUGCAGCAUAUCAAUUGCGUGGAUGUACACUGGGCAACCGUCUCCGGUUAGAGAACUUAAAGAUUUCUCGGUCUUCAGGGAGGUUUGUUCUUAUAGACACUUCAGAAAUUGGUCCAACUGAGAAGAAGGGAAGCUUCAUACAGGACUGGAACCUGGGUGGAGAUGUCCUUGAUACGAUUGCUAGGAGAGUUCUGGGUGUGGGUACCCCUUACCCCAAGGACCUUGAGAAAUACAUCAACAAUAUGCGGUCAGCGGAACCUAAGCUUUGGCGUCUUCUCUACAAUUCAUUGUUUUUAUCCCCAGAAGCCCGCUAUUGGCUAAGAGUCUAUGUUAAUCAGAUGUCCCGAGAAGACUUCAAAUCCCUCUCCAGAGGCAUGAAGCAUAAGAUGCAAAAGUUCUUUGGGGAGCUACCUUAUCAAGGAGGAGAGGAGGAUGAGGGCUCGCUGAAAUGGCUGUCAAAAAACGAGGAAUUCAUCCGUGCUACGCUCGCUGAGUCAAGGAAGGAUGCUCAAAAUAGGGUUACUGGUCCUAACUAUCUGAGCACUGAGGAGGCCAGGAAGAGAGACUUGGGUAGAUGGCUGGUCUGUGUCAACCGCGACGGUUUGACACAUGGGACGAGAACCAAGGCGGAGCACCUGAAAGAUAUCAAAAGAAAUAUGCUCACUGCACAAAACAUAUCGCAGCUGCUACACGUGGAGUUUGAUGAGCUGGACCAGGAAUACAUUGAUCUGUGCGGCGAGGAUAAUGGGCUGCGGGAGCUCCUCAGCAUCGAAGGGAUAUUCUUCGAGACCCCAGAGACCUGGAGGACUGCCAUUGAAGCACUUGAGAAGGAUAUUCAGGCAGUGCGGGAACUAAAAGAGAAGAAUUUGGUGCUGCUGACAUAG